rnacentral:rRNA from 1 species
AGUCUAGCCUGCUCACUGAUAAUUAGUAUUAAAUAGCCGCGGUAUCUUGACCGUGCAAAGGUAGCAUAAUCAUUAGUUUUUUAAUUGAAAACUCGUAUGAAUGGUUGGACAAAGAAGAGACUGUCUCUUUUAUUAAAGUUGAAUUUAACUUUUAAGUGAAAAGGCUUAAAUUUUCUAGAGGGACGAUAAGACCCUAUAAAGCUUUAUGAACUUAGGCAUUCUAUAUAUUUUUAAAUAAAAAUAAUUUUUUAAAUGUUCAUUUGGUUGGGGCGACAAUAGUAUAAUAAGAGUAACUGCUUUUAAGUUUAACAAAAAUGUUUGAGUCAUAUUUAGUUGAUCCUUUUUAAAGAUUUUAAGAUCAAGUUACUUUAGGGAUAACAGCGUUAUUUUUCCUGAGAGUCCUUAUCAAAGGAAAAGUUUGCGACCUCGAUGUUGAAUUAAAAUGUCUAUAUAGUGCAGCAGCUAUGAAAGAAGGUCUGUUCGACCUUUAAUAUUUUACAUGAUUUGAGUUCAGACCGGCGGGAGCCAGGUCGGUUUCUAUCUUCUAGAGAAAAAGUGAUCACUUUAGUACGAAAGGAUUGAGUGAUCAAAAUUUUUUUAAGGGUUGAAAU